rnacentral:rRNA from 1 species
UACGAAGGGGGCUAGCGUUGCUCGGAAUCACUGGGCGUAAAGCGCACGUAGGCGGAUUGCUAAGUCAGGGGUGAAAUCCUGGAGCUCAACUCCAGAACUGCCUUUGAUACUGGCGAUCUCGAGUCCGGGAGAGGUGAGUGGAACUGCGAGUGUAGAGGUGAAAUUCGUAGAUAUUCGCAAGAACACCAGUGGCGAAGGCGGCUCACUGGCCCGGUACUGACGCUGAGGUGCGAAAGCCAGGGGAGCGAACGGG